ACUGCAAGUUUGAAAUGAGCACACUUUGGUAACAUAUUUCUCAUCCACUGACAAGACCAAUGGUACAGUAGUGAGCGUCCUAAAAAUAGUCUUUACAUAAAAUUUAACCACUAACGUACUUUUAUUAGUUUAGUGGAGUAAGCUGUUUUCUGUGUCAAGCAGAUCCCUGCUCAGCUCCCUGCUGCAGGAGUGAGGACCGAGGACUUACCGCAGCCAUAUCCUUAAUAAGCUUGAUGAUGAUCUCUGAUAUCUGAGGAGGAGUUGAGCCUUUCAUCCACCAGUGACUCUCACCACGUCGGAGGGGGACCAAAAGCAGGUUACCAACCUUGCAUGUGGGUGUCUUCCCCUGCUGAGUUAGCUUGCUGCCUGACAGUCCGUUUAUACAUAUAGCCAGUUGCUCACUGAUGUUAACUGGUGAAUGAGGCAACAGGUGAUGACAGGAGCGCCUUUUCCUCUUGCUCUGGUGUGGGCUCAGCAUCUCCGGAGAUGAGCUUCCCAAACACCUGACAAAGAACGGAGGCAGCAAAAUCAAUAUGCGAUGGGAGUUCACUAAAACCACCUGCUAGAAAGCCUCAUCUACUCAGAAGCAAAAAUUCAAAGAAGUAUUCUUUCCCAGAGAGAAGAUGCAGUCUGGCAGCCAAUGCGACUUUCCAGCUCAAGUAACAGGCUAGCGCUACAACAGACACGUACACCGGCAGCCACUGACCUGGCUCAGAGCUUCAAAGCCAGACUGGACGCUGAUGCUGAAGCUCUCCUCACUGUCCCCGUCAUCUGACUUUGACAAGAUGUUGUUGAUAUGAUGGAAGACAUUGCUCUGAUGGAGGAACUGGUGGUCGGACUGCUUGAACUUGAGGCUCCAGCAUCUGAGGGGAUGGCUUUAACUCGUGCAGGUAAAAUGGAAUGUUGUUUAUCAUAUUCAGAAGCAACAACUGAGUAUGACCGUUGGAAGACAGUUCUCUUAGCCAGAUACUUGACUGUGGGUAAGUGAGGUUUUACAUUCUCCAGAGGAAGUGCUGUCAAAAGAGUACAUGGCUAUAUCAAAGUGCAAUUAAAAGCUAGCACAGCUGACACAGUGACCCUCCUGAGACAGAAAGCUGUAUUAAAGAACUGAAGAACUGCACGAACAUGUUUUUAUAAUUCAGCCUUUCUUCCAGCAAACACUCAUCACCCCCAGACAGAACGAAAGUACCUUGGUGGCAUAGACUUCAUGUUGCUCUCUGGCUCUUCAAAUACAUUGGGACUGGCAUCAGGAGUUACUGAUAUGUAUGGGGCAGGGACAGAUGUCGAACGCAGAUAUCUCAUUUCGUCCUGGAACAGGUUGUCAUCUUGAUAGCCCACAAAAUUUUCAUGGUGGUGCCUGCAUUAAAUGAAACCCAACAACUUAAGAGUACAGUGGCAGUAUAGAUCCUCUUCAUUUUAAAUCUCCUUUGAAAAAGGCAAAGGAGUACAUAAGAAUAUACAAAUAAACAAAAGUAUUAAAAUAAUUGCAGAAGCA